AUCAAUUGAAGCUUCUUCACAAUCAGCUCCUGAAGUCUCUCAAAAAGCCCCACCAUCGAAGAACCCCGUGAGUACACCAUCUUGGAAUGUUGAAGCAAUAGGUUGUAUGCAGUACUCUCCAAAAUAUAUCAUUGAUUUCUUUCCUAAUUGGUAUUACUCUAUUUGGAUGGGCAACCAAGCAAGUUAUAAAUGUUAUUCAGGUUGGUUCAUGAUACAUUUAUGCUUGAUAUUUAGAUGAUGAUUGAUGAGGUGUUGUAUAAUGUAUCUAUCUAGUUUUUUUUACCAACCCCUAACCCAUAAUGAAAUGAGGAAGAAGAAGAGAAGCAAAGCAUGUAAGAGAAGAAAAGAAAAUCCAAACUCCAAAGAAAACCGAGCGGAACUUAAUAGUCUAUAUUUUUCAGUUUGGAAUAUUCAUCUUGACAGAGUAAUAGGAAAUUUGUAACCUUUGAGUUCCUGUAAUCUGAACUUUCUUUUAGCAUGACUCAGGAACUUCAUAUUGUGACCUGAUAAUUGGCUUCAAAGAUUGUUUUUUACAUUCUAGCUGUAGGCUUUCUUGGAUUGAAAGUUGUGUAUGGGUUAUUUUGGAUUGUAAGUUGUCUAUGAGUUUGUUUCUUUAAUUGAAGUGUUUUGUUAUUUUGGAUUA